rnacentral:misc_RNA from 1 species
GGGGUGGAAAGUGGCAGGCUCUUCGGUAUCUCACUCAUGCCUUCCGGGUUAGGCUGAUCUGCAUCACACCCUACGAGUGACCACCCUCCAUAACUCGUCAACCUUCCCCCCAGUAACCCAAAGCUAUAGCAAUCAAACAGAACGAGGCCAAGAACAAGCAUCAGACCUGCAGAUCAAGAAACCCUCUCCAAUAAACCGCAAAUCCGCA